UAUGGUCAAAAGGUUUUACAACUCGCAGGAGUGUAUGUUCUACCAUACCAAGUUAUCGGUACUACUGUAACCGCCAGUUUCGUCGUGUUUUGUUUCGCGGUACUAAUUACACAAAGGUUAAAAUAUCUAAUAUAAAAAUACUAGUUUGAAGGUUCUUUGGCAGAUCAAUAUUUUCGGAUUGCAGCUCUCAGCGUUCUAGUAUCUGCAAUACUGGUUGGCUUUGUGGUUAGUGGACAAAGAAUCGAAGAUAUGUGGCAGGACAUGUUUGAUGCUUUACGUGAAGUCAGUUGGUACCACUGGAAGCACACCGACAAAAAAAUGUACCUGAUGUUCCUAACAAACUCGUCCAAAGUGCAUAAAUUAAAGUACACCGAAAACAUUUCACUAAACCAUAUGUUGGGAAUACAGGUUAUUAAAGCCGUAUUUUCUGCCAUAUCCAUCACAUAUAAUUUACAACAUUAGGACCCAAUUUACAGAAAGCGAAGUUAAAGUUAAUUCGCGAUUAAUUCGCUGUUCUAUAAACCGGCCCUAGGUGUACUUGCAUUAAAAAAAAAUGG